rnacentral:rRNA from 1 species
UGCCUAAUACAUGCAAGUCGAGCGGACCGACGGGAGCUUGCUCCCUUAGGUCAGCGGCGGACGGGUGAGUAACACGUGGGUAACCUGCCUGUAAGACUGGGAUAACUCCGGGAAACCGGGGCUAAUACCGGAUGCUUGAUUGAACCGCAUGGUUCAAUCAUAAAAGGUGGCUUUUAGCUACCACUUACAGAUGGACCCGCGGCGCAUUAGCUAGUUGGUGAGGUAACGGCUCACCAAGGCGACGAUGCGUAGCCGACCUGAGAGGGUGAUCGGCCACACUGGGACUGAGACACGGCCCAGACUCCUACGGGAGGCAGCAGUAGGGAAUCUUCCGCAAUGGACGAAAGUCUGACGGAGCAACGCCGCGUGAGUGAUGAAGGUUUUCGGAUCGUAAAACUCUGUUGUUAGGGAAGAACAAGUACCGUUCGAAUAGGGCGGUACCUUGACGGUACCUAACCAGAAAGCCACGGCUAACUACGUGCCAGCAGCCGCGGUAAUACGUAGGUGGCAAGCGUUGUCCGGAAUUAUUGGGCGUAAAGCGCGCGCAGGCGGUUUCUUAAGUCUGAUGUGAAAGCCCCCGGCUCAACCGGGGAGGGUCAUUGGAAACUGGGGAACUUGAGUGCAGAAGAGGAGAGUGGAAUUCCACGUGUAGCGGUGAAAUGCGUAGAGAUGUGGAGGAACACCAGUGGCGAAGGCGACUCUCUGGUCUGUAACUGACGCUGAGGCGCGAAAGCGUGGGGAGCGAACAGGAUUAGAUACCCUGGUAGUCCACGCCGUAAACGAUGAGUGCUAAGUGUUAGAGGGUUUCCGCCCUUUAGUGCUGCAGCAAACGCAUUAAGCACUCCGCCUGGGGAGUACGGUCGCAAGACUGAAACUCAAAGGAAUUGACGGGGGCCCGCACAAGCGGUGGAGCAUGUGGUUUAAUUCGAAGCAACGCG